rnacentral:lncRNA from 1 species
GCUACUCAGGGGGCUGAGGCAGGAGAAUCGCUGAAACCACGGAGGCGGAGAUUGCAGUGAGCCAAGAUCACACCACUGCACUGCAGCUUGGGCGACAAAGCAAGACUCCAACAACAACUACAACAAAAAAGAGCUCUGAAGAAAUACUAACGAAAAAUGAAAAUUACCAUUCAAGAGAAUUACCAUUUCAAGAGUUGGUAUGUUUUAGGAACAAAACAUACUUAAUCAUGCAUCUGCGAUGGAUUUCCUAAUUUGGCCUCCCGAGUAGGACACCUUGAGAGGCAAAUAGUUCCACAAUUAUAUGGGAAGGAGAUGGGAAGGUGCCAGCCAAGAGAGUCUCUCAUGUGUAUGAAGUAAAGGAAUGAAGCAAGGUCUAGGGAAGCAUGCUUUUCUCUGUGUGUCAUGGUUACAGCAAUGAUAGAGCAUCUGUGGAUGAAGCGUUUCCUGAUCCUAUUUACUUCAUGUGAUUAUUUGAUUAUUUCAGUAACCACACACUCAGUCACCAUUCAUUCACAUGCUCCUAGAAGAAACAGGAGCCACACCAAAUUACAUUUUACACAUUUUAUUCCUGCAUUAAGGAUUGGAUUAUAAUGUAACCUUUCUGGACUCUUUUCAUUUUUAUGACAUUUAUAGCUUUUGUUACAUGCCCUUACAUAUGCCAUGUGGAUGGAGUGCGAGGAGAAGCAGAGAGCAGUCGAAUUGCUCAGCGUUCCUCUAAAAAGGACACCAUCAAAAGAGGUGAAGGACCAGGACUUGAAUAUGUUCAUUGAAGACUCUUGUCAAUCAAAGAGAUCGAGAUUGCUGAGAGGCUUAUUCUCAGGGACGUGGGUCACCCCCAAAUCCACAUCCUUUUGGUGAUUGCAGGCUGCAUUGCCCAAUCUUGAUGUGCCUCCAGCUCAAAAGGCUCAUGGUUUCCUCAACCCUGCUGUUUAUUUCUCUCCCUUGUUACAUACUUUGUGUCUCUAUUCUGUCAUACUUCUUUUCCUCCUCAGCACCGAUUUUUAAUAGACUGUUACUCCUUUCUAGGAUACAUUUGAGUGACCAAAUUCAGGUAUGAAACAUAUUUCUUCCAUUGCCAACUUCUGUUUUCUCAAAUCCUCCUUUCACAUUUACAACUUAGCUGAAAUUUUCUGUCUACAUUCUCUUUUCUUGCCUUUGAACACUUCUCCUCCUCUGCUCCCCUCCCCAAUAGAAUCCAGCCUUUGAAAUGCUGCCCUACAGUAAUUGUUAAGCUAAUUUUCUCCCAAUUUUCUUAUGGUUUACUAGAAAGCCUUUUUUGAGUGGUGACAAAAAUUCAUAAAGCACAUUAUGCUAAGAGACAUUUGCAUAACUUGGUAUCCAUCAAUAAUUCAAAUGUUGAUAUAAAGCUAAGCAUAGACUUACCACAUGACUUAACAUUUACGCUUCUAGGUAUUCAUCCAACGGAUUUGAAAAAUUAUGCUCACACAAAAGCCUGCACAUGAAUGUUCAUAGCAGUUCUAUUCAUAUUUACCAAAAGCUGUGAGGAAUCAAGAAGUCCUUCAAAAGGCGAAUGGAGAAACAAUUGUGGUACCUCCAUACCAUGGAAUACUAUUCAGCAAUAGAAGUACACUAUCAAGCCAUGUAAAGAUAUGAAUGAAUCGUAAAUGAGCAUUGCUAAGUGCAAGAAGUUAGUCUUAGAAAGCUACAUACCAUAUCAUUCCAUUUAUAUUACAUUCUGGAAUAGAAAAAAAAAAAACUGUAGAAGCCAAAUCAGUGAUAGGCAGAGUUUUGGGGAGGAAGACGGAUUCAUUAGGUAAAGCACAGGUGAUUUCUUUCAAGCCUAUAAACCAUUCUGUACAGGACUGUAGUGGUGGAUACAUGACAUUAUUAACUUGUCAAAUCCCAUAUAACUUUAUAGUGCAAAGAAUUUACUGUAAUGUAGGCACAAUUAAAAAAAAAAUCAACCAGAAGAUCAGGAAAUCCAGAAUGGGAUGCAGACUGUAACUAAAUAAUCUGAUCAUAUUAUAAAUGUAUGAAAUAACCUCACUUAAGAGGGUAGGGACAAAGAAAUGCUGAUUUAAUUAACUUCAGUCAUUGGGUACAGUGUACACGGCUCAGGUGACAGGUGCACCAACAUCUCAGAAAUAACCACUUAUCCAUGUAACAAAAAACAACCUGUUCCCCAAAAGCUAUCGAAAUUUUUAAAAAAUCAAAGAAAAAAGUUAUGUAUCUAAAAAAAUAACUUUGGAAUGACUUUAAGACUAAUGACAAACUAUUAAGCUAGGUAAUUAUUGUACUCUAGUUGAUAAAGUUAUUUCUUAACAGGUGUGUGACUUCACAAUUAUGAAAACUCUGUACAUGUCUACUAAAAUUAAACAAAUAAAUAAAUGGAUGGUGGAUGAUGGGAGCUAAGUUUUUUACUGUUGAAAUGGGGUUAACACAUGUUAAAUAAAAUAGGCAGAAAGCCAUUGGCCUGAGGCUGCCUCUGUACAUUGAGUUCCAAAUAACAAACUACAACCUAACUUAGGAGUAUACGUUUUGUAACAGAUACCCAGGUCUCAGCCAAUCACAAGAAGUCAAGCUUCGGCCAAUCACAGGCAGCCAACUGACCAGAGCACAUCCAAAUAAGGCAACUGCAACCAAUCAAGCUAUCUCUGUGCUUUACUUCUGUGUUCAGCCUAUAAAAGCUCAUUGCCAAAACUGCAGAGCAGUGCUCUCUGAAUUCUCUUCUGAAAACUCCCUGUUCCCCCAAAACUACUGAAAUUAAAAAAGAAAAGAAAAAAAUUAUUAUGUAUUGAUAUGUUUGGUUGUGUCCCCACCCAAAAUCUCAUCUUGAAUUGUAA